rnacentral:rRNA from 1 species
CCUUUAGUGCUGCAGCAAACGCAUUAAGCACUCCGCCUGGGGAGUACGGUCGCAAGACUGAAACUCAAAAGAAUUGACGGGGGCCCGCCCAAACGGUGGAGCAUGUGGUUUAAUUUGAAGCAAAGCGAAAAACCUUACCGGGUCUUGACAUCUUCUGACAACCCUAGAGAUAGGGCUUCCCCUUCGGGGGCAGAGUGACAGGUGGUGCAUGGUUGUCGUCAGCUCGUGUCGUGAGAUGUUGGGUUAAGUCCCGCAACGAGCGCAACCCUUGAUCUUAGUUGCCAGCAUUCAGUUGGGCACUCUAAGGUGACUGCCGGUGACAAACCGGAGGAAGGUGGGGAUGACGUCAAAUCAUCAUGCCCCUUAUGACCUGGGCUACACACGUGCUACAAUGGGCAGAACAAAGGGCAGCGAAGCCGCGAGGCUAAGCCAAUCCCACAAAUCUGUUCUCAGUUCGGAUCGCAGUCUGCAACUCGACUGCGUGAAGCUGGAAUCGCUAGUAAUCGCGGAUCAGCAUGCCGCGGUGAAUACGUUCCCGGGCCUUGUACACACCGCCCGUCACACCACGAGAGUUUGUAACACCGGAAGUCGUAGAGGUAAUCAGUNGACCAAGCUAGCGCGUAGAGUUGA